AUGGAAUAUUACAUAGCAAUAAAAAGGAAUGACGUAUUGACAUACUCAACAACAUCGAUCAAUCUCCAAAUCAUUAUUCUUGGUUAAAAAAAGCCAGAGAAUCCCCCUCAAAAAGAACACAUACUGUAGGGUUUCAUUUAUAUAAAAUUCUACAAAAUGCAAACUAAUCUACAGUGACAAGCACAACAGUUUGUGUUCAGGAAUUAGGGAUUCAUGGGGAGGGUGGGAGGGACGGAUUACAAAGGGACAUGAGGAAAUUUGGGGGCAUGAGACACGUCUUGAUUGUGGUCAAGGCUUCACAGGUGUAUACUUAUGUCAAAACUUAUCAAACUGUAUACUUUAUAGGCAUUUUAUUGUAUGUCAAUUAUACUUCAAUAAAGCUGUAAAAACAUAUAAUCACAAAAAUGAUCUUUAGGUCACUUCCAACUGCCUUUCAACUCAAUUAUUUUUUCAUGACUCCUCUUUGAUCCCUUUACUGAACUCCCUUGAAGAACCCCAAGCAAAUAUCCUUUUAUUCUCUGAAGGCACCGAUCCUGGUUUUCCCUACUGAAAAUGAGGGGAAAGUUUUAAGUAACCCUCUUAUGAAUUAAGGACAUAGUCUCCUUUCCUUUUCCCCCCAAGCUCACCAAAAUCAUACUGGGAUCAACUGUCCUGAAGGAUGACCUCUAGUCUCUGUUUAAGACACAAAGGAAGAAGAAAAAUCAAAAACAAAAAAUUUUUCCAGCAACUUCCACUCUUGUGUUAUAAAUGAACUGAAGUCAAAGAUUUUAAGAGUUGCCUGGCUCCUCUGGAGCUAACCUGGUAUAAAAAGGGCUCUAAUUGUGAAAGAAAGGGUCUCUUCUAUCUUUGGAGUAGUGCUCUCACCAACAAACAGCAACCCAGGCAGAGGGAGAUGUGGAUGGCUGUGGGAGGAGUACUUUUUUUUUUAUCUCGCGUCAAUCUACAACUGCAAAAUGAACUGGCCCAAUUUAAAGUUUCACAAUUUCUGACCAUUGGUCUACAUUCCUGAAAGGUUCUCCGUGAAAUAAAUGUGGUGUGUGUGUAAGUUGAAUCACUGGCUUCUAAUUCGUUUACUAUAAUGAAGAAAUAGACUUGGGAUUAUUUGAAUUCUGUCUUUGCAAUUUACAAGCUUUGUGAUCUUGGGCAAUCUCUCAACUUCUCUAAACUUCAACUUCCUCCUCUAAAAUGGAGCUGAACUCAAGGGCUGACCUGAAGAUUGUAUGCAAUGAGAAAGGCCAGGGCCUGGGACAUGGGAAGCACUCAGUAAUGGUUUAUGAAAUCUGCAUUGUAAAUAUCUAUUGAGGUCUCAUUUCGGAGUCCCUUAUCUCUUCUUCUGAUAAACAUUCAUUUGGUUAUUACUCAAUACCACAUAACUUUAAGCUUACCCUCCCCUCACCUUCUGUCAUGUUGAUAAUCCAAGUCCACAAGCAGGCAAGAACACAUUCAUGGAAUCUGCUAUUUAAAACAGCAACAGCUCAGGAGGCUGGCCCUGUGGCCGGGUGGUUGAGUUCACAUGCUCCGCUUCAGCGGCCCAGUGUUUCCUUGGUUCGAAUCCUGGGCGCUGACAUGGCACUGCUCAUCAAACCAUGCUGAGGUGGCGUCCCACAUGCUGCAACUAGAAGGACCCACGAUGAAGAAUAUGCAACUAUGUACCGGAGGGGGUAGGGGAGCUUUGGGGAGAAUAAAGGAAAAAAAUAAAAUCUUAAAAAAAAAAAUCACAGGUCUCCUAAGAAAGGGGUUUUCAGAAAUGUUAGAUCAUCAUCUACUGGGGUCCACCCCCUGAGUCUGGGCAGGGCCACAGUGAAAC
rnacentral:lncRNA from 1 species